rnacentral:rRNA from 1 species
GCCAGACUCCUACGGGAGGCAGCAGUGAGGAAUAUUGGUCAAUGGCCGGGAGGCUGAACCAGCCAAGUCGCGUGAGGGAAGACGGCCCUACGGGUUGUAAACCUCUUUUGUCAGGGAGCAAGGUGCAGGUCGGGACCUGCUGUGAGAGUACCUGAAGAAAAAGCAUCGGCUAACUCCGUGCCAGCAGCCGCGGUAAUACGGAGGGUGCGGGCGUUAAUCGGAAUUACUGGGCGUAAAGCGCACGUAGGCUGUAUGACAAGUCAAGGGUGAAAUGCCACGGCUCAACCGUGGAACUGCCUUUGAAACUGUCAAACUGGAGUAUGUGAGAGGGCGGCGGAAUUCCUGGUGUAGGAGUGAAAUCCGUAGAUAUCAGGAGGAACAUCAGUGGCGAAGGCGGCCGCCUGGCACAAAACUGACGCUGAGGUGCGAAAGCGUGGGUAGCAAACAGGAUUAGAUACCCGUGUA